GGCUCCAAUUCAUUAGAUAAAUCUACACCUAUAAAUCAAGAUAAGCUCUUUCGUAUUUAGAGCUUCUGGUGAGGGACAAAGUCCUUAAGCUUCUUAGAAGCUGUAUUGCUUGAUUGAGGGGAGUUAUGAGACAUAAGGGUCUUCAGAGGGCCCUUUGUUCUGACUAAAUGGUAUUCUGAGGCAGCGCCAUUGAUCCUUCUGAAAUCUUAAUCAGAGAUUUUAUAGCCACAUCCUCAGCUCCAUCAUUAGACUUGGCAGAGCCCUUGGUUUGAUAUUUGUACAGAAACUAUUUCUUCAUUUUAGGAUCUUUCACCAUCUGGAGAGGCUAGGAAUUUUCAAAGCCAAAACACUAGCUUCUUUUGGUUUGGCAGACCUUUCAUAAGUUGAUGUCUUUCCUCUCACAUGUUACUAUAAGUAAAAGCAAACCAAGUAGCCCCUUCAACAUUCCAUGAACAAAUUACUUUAACUUGUUCACUCCAUUCUUUAAGUCAUUUUCUACUUCCUGUGUUAUCGCAGGUGACAGUGUCACUAAUCUCCCUAAUACUACUUAACUACGAUCUUCCUUUCAAUUUCUAAUAGAUAGCUCUCACUUUCCUUUGAGCCUUUUUGACAGCCCCAAGCUCUACAGCAAUCUGUUCAAGGUACACAAGCUUUCAUCAACACUCUCCUCAAAGUCUGUUUAGCUUCUGGAACUAAGGCUUAGUUCCAAAGCCACUUCACAUUUUUCAGUAAUUGUUAUGACAAUACCUUACUUCCAGGUACUAAAAUUUGUUUUAGUAAACAGAUUUAGUAAACAGAUUUUAGUAAACAGAUUUUAGUUUGCUAAACUAAACAGAUUUUAGUACCUAGAAACUAAAACUACUUAGUUUCCACAUAACAUGUUAACACCCCCAAACUUAAAACAAUAAACCCUUAUUAUCUCAUAGUUUCUAUGAGUUAUAAAUCCAGGAGUGGCAUUUGCUGAGUGGUUCUUACUCAUGGUAUCAAAUGAAGUUGAGUCAAGCAAAGGAGGAAGGCACAGUGUUUAAUGCCCUAAUUGACAUCAUGUGCUUUCAUUUCUGUUGCAUGCAUAGGAAGCAAGUUAUUAAGUCCAGCCCCCUACUCAAGAGGAAAGGUAUUAAGCCCUGCUUUGAAGUAGAAUACAUUAAAAAAUGCUAGUCAUAUUUUCAAACUACCAGAAGCUGGAAACUCUUUUAUAAGUUAUAUUGAAACCAUAUUGCACCCCUAGGGAGAUGUGGCAUAGGAAAAUGAUGACUACAUUUACAUAAUCAGAAUUUGCCAAGGCUUUCAGCUACCAUUAAACUCCAUAUAGCUACAUCUAAUGAACAAAUCUCAGUCCUCCUAUUACUUAACCUUUCAGUGACCUUGGGCAUAGUUGAUACCUCUCUUUAUUCCUUGAAACAAUUUCUUCUAUUGCCUUCCAGGACAUCACACCCUCAUGCUUUUCCUCCUGCCUCUAACCAGCUCCUUGCUGUCAAUCUCAUGUACUACUUCCUCUUCAUCUCUCCCACCUCAUGCUAUUGGUGUCCGAGAGCUCACACCUUGAGUCUCUUUUUUCUCUACUCCAUCCUUUGCAGAUAUCAUGCAACCCCAAGUCUUUAAAUACAAUGUGCACUUAUAACUGCUCAGACCCCUCCUGUAACUCUUCUUCAAUUCGACUCAUACCCAACCUCAUCUGCAUUCAGUGUCUAACAAGACUCAUCUACUUAACUCACCCUAACCUGAGCAUUUGAUCGUUUCCUCAGACCUACUCUUCUUAUAAUCGUCCUCAUUUCAGCUCAUGGCAACGCCAUCCUUCUAGUCACUCAGAAUUCAUUCUCAUUCUCAUUUUUAUUCUCUCUCCCUCUCCCUCACUCAUUUCCUUCCUCCUCCUUCCCACAUUCUUAAUCUAUUGGCAAAAUGUGUUAGGUCUACCUAUAAAAUACAUUGAAAAUUUGAACUGUUACAAGCUCCACAACUACCACUGUGGUCCAAGCCCAGCCUUUGCUGUCUCCUGGAUUGUUGCAAUAGCUGUUUAACUUCCCAGGGGUGGUUCUUUCCACUCCUGCACCCUGGAGUCUAUUCUCAUACCUCAUCCAGAGUAAUCCUAUUAAAAGUAAACCAGUUCAUACCAUUCUGUGAGUUUAGCUCUCCAGUGACUCCUUAUCUCACUCUCAUAAAAGCCAGACUCCCUAAAAUGACCCACCUGAGCCUAAAAGACCUGGAUUUUGUCACUAAUCUGAUGUCGUCUCCUCAAAUUCUCCUUUUUGUCAUCCUGCUCCAGCCACUGCUGUAUCUCGCUCAAACAUCCCAUGUGUGAUAUUACCUCAGGGCAUGACCUUCCUGCCUCUGUGCUCUGUCCUUAGAUUUCCAUAUGACUUGCCCCAUCACUUCCUUCAGAUCUUACAUAUCAUUUCUAAGUGAGACUUGGCCUAACUAUUUUAUUCAAAGUUGUUCCCCCAAGUUGUCCAAAAUCAUCUUUUCUGCUUUGUUUUCUUCACAGCACGAAUCAUCUAACAAUUUGUUUCACUCAUUUUUAUGGAAUUUAAAAUCUAAGGGAAGUGUUUUUUAAUUGAUUUAUUCACUGUAUUGAUAGUACCUAGGAAUACUUUUGGCAAAUAGACAUCAUUGAAUGUUUUAUUUUUUUGAACGAAUAAAUGAAUUAUUCAUUCAUCUCUUCAUCCUUAUCUACAUGGAAUUCUCUUCUUUCUCAACCUCAGACUGUCUAAAUCCUGAAUUAACUCCACACUAAGCCAAUCAUGACUUGUCUCUUCCAGGACCUUUCCUCACUAAUUGUCAUGUAUUUUGACCCUCUUCAUUUUGACUUUCCUUGGUCCCCAGCCCACCUCACACUAUUGUAGAGUUGCUUGUAUGUGCAAUCUUUCUCCAUCUUGCUCAUAUAUUUGUGUCAUAUUUGUCUAAAUAGAUCCUUGAGAAGCCAUAUUUAUUCCUCUUUUUGAGUCUUUUUUUUUGUCCCUUUGUAAUUAUGCAACAUGCACUUUAUAAAUCCCUGCUUUAUAAACAACUGCUAAUCCACUGAAAUGACCUCCAUAACCCUGCACAGCUGAGGAAAGAUGCUAUUUCAGGACAACACAAUGUUUUUGUAAAAUGCAUACAAUCAUUUUCAAUUUAUAUAGUAAUAAGUUCCAGGUAAAACCAGCUGAGCUACACAAGCAACUGUUCUAAUACUCACACACUUAUUACAUUCUCUUUAGGAAAUAGAAUCCACUUUUCUACAUGGACUGGAAAUCCUUAGAUGUUAAAAAAAAAAAAAAAGUUAAAAAGCUCCACUGAGAUUUAGCUUCUUGCCAUAAUGCUCUAAAUUAUUUCAGUGUUGCGUAAGGCAUUAUAAAACACUAUAAUUUAUAUGCUCCUGAGCAAGUGCCUCUUAAAAUGUUCACCAAUUAGUUCAUUUCAGAACCUGCUUCUGAUAUCCCUGAAGGUAAGAAAAACCCCUUCAUAUGCAACCUGAGUAUAAGACAAUAUCAAAAUUAGUUGUGUUAGCUAAAUAUUAUCUUCAGAGCAGCUCUGAAUUUCUGCUGUUUUGAAAUGUUAAGUUCAUCAAAAAAUUAUAUGAAGAAUUAUGCACAUAGAUUUUUCCUUCUGUGAAUUCUACAUAAUCCUCUGCUUUUUUCUAAAUUAGUCUUCUUAUAAUAACAUGACUCAGAUUUUGCUUAGGAACAAGAUAUAUUGAAACUGUCUCAAUCAGCCCAUCUUCAUCUCUCUCACCUUACUUUUGAUACUAGACAUGCCUGCUUUGGUUGUGAUCAGUCUUCUAAGAUUAAUGUUCUCCUACGCAUGCAAAGUCUAAAUACUGAAUUAGGAAUAUUAGAGCUUGUGACUAAUUCUUCUUGGAGUAAGAAAGUUAGUAUUUCAAGAGGAAAACAAAAGGUUUCUUGACUAUAUUCCCAUGCUGAAUUAGGACUAUCAUUUAAUAGCAUCUGAUUCUGCCUCAGAGUUCAUUAAAGUCUUUUAUUGAGUUUGUAAAUACAUUCAACUGGAUACUUCUUUUUUCUCAUAAGGAAAAUUUGUUAUUCUAUUCCUUUAUGUUGAAACCUUUGUUAAUUUAGUGUUUUAAAUAAUUUUGGAGAAUAUAUGAAACAACAUGAAAAAUAUUGAACCCAUAUAUCACUUUCAUUUUACUCUAACUUCCUGAUACUGCCUCAUGCAUAGAAUUGGAAUCUGUUGCUCCUGUCUUUAUCAGCCAUUACUAAAGCAUCAUCUUAAAGGCCCAUUGCUAAGACAGGGGUUUACCACAUGGAGCGACAAACUAUAUAUCAUGUAUAUGAAUAUGAGCUCAGAGCUAAACAGAAUAUAGGGAUUAUCUAAUAUAGGGUUUAUGAUGUUUAUUUCACGUAGUAAACCAGAGAAACACAUUGACCACCAACAGAAAUUCACUGUAGUAGUUUCCUAUUGUUGGUGUUACAAAUUACCACAAACUUGGUGACAAAAUAGCACAAGCCUAUUACAGUCCAUAUGCCAGAGUCUGAAAUGAGUCUCACAGAACAAAAAUCAAGGUGUUGACAGUGUUCCAAUCCACCUGGAGAGUGUCUUUCUAGCUUCUAGAGCUGCCCACCUUGCAUUCCUUGGCUUCUAGUAAUCAUAUCCCUUGGACCUCCCCUUCUCUGACUUGGACACUCUUGCCUCCCUCACAUAAGGACCUUGUGUUAACUUGGACCCACUAAAAAAUCUUACUUUAAUCGUAUCUGCAAAGUCCCAUUUUCAAAUAAGGUAAUAUUUCCACAAGUUUCAGAAGUUAGGAUUUAGACUUGUUUUUAAGGAGACCAUUAUUCUGUCCACUACACAUAAUAUUCUCAAGUAAGAGAGGGAGAGCAUAGUAGCUCAUGUUGCUUGCAAAACAAGCAGUAUUACAAAAUAAUUAAGGAGUCCCUGUCGUGGCUGAGAGGAAACAAAUCUGACUUGUAUCCAUGAAGAUGCAGGUUCGAUCCCUGGCCUCACUCAGUGGAUUAAGGAUCUGGUAUUGCUGUGAGCUGUGGUGUAGUUUACAGACACGGUGUGGAUCUGGUGUUGCCGAGGCUAUGGCGUAGGCUGGAAGCUGUAGCUCUGAUUGGACCCCCAGCCUGGGAAUCUCCAUGUGCCACGGGUGGAGCCCUGGGAAGGAAAAAAAAAAAAAAAAGUUUAAGAAGUGGACUCUGGUGCCAGAUGGCCUGACUUCAAAUCCCAUUCUUGCCCCUCAGUAACUAUGAAAUCUUAAGCAAAGUAUUGAAACUCUGCUUUGUACUCUAUAAAACCAGAAUUGACAAUAUUACCUCCUACUGUUGUUUUAAAAACUAGAUGAAUUUACACAUGUAAAUGCACUUAGAACAAUUCCAACAUAUAUAUGUCCAAUAAACAUUUACUUAUAUGCCCUCAUGGUCUGAAAGAAUUCAUCCAAUCAAAAUUUUUUUUUACAGAUGAAGAAAUUAAGUGCCAAAAACUUAAAGGAUUUACACAAAAUAAUACAGUGGCAUUAGAUUAUAAAACUUGUCACAUUAAGUUUUUAUCUUGUGUUGUUGAACCAGUAUUUGUUAAAUCCAUGUUUUCAGUGGUGUCAGUAUUUUAAAAGUACCUAUUUUCUUAUUACUAAUAAUUCCUAAUUAACCUAGUGAUAUUAUCAAUAACAUAUUUCUCUUUGCUUUAAUGGAAAUCCUAUGAACAUAUUUCUUUCUGAAUCUUCUAUAGCUUUAUAGGGUUAUAUUACAUCCUGUGAAGGAUAAGCUAUUUUGACAAAGCUAUUUUGACAAACUCUCAAGAAUUUUAGAACACCCCCCCCCCAGGCCUAGCAUUUCAUAUGAUGAACUUGUCUUUGACUUCUUGUAUCUAGAUAAUAGUGCAUAUUGCCAUUAUUUAGAUGGUUUUAAACCUCUACUCAAAAUGUUCCUUACAUGUUCUUAUAGAUUUGAUGUUGUCCAUUUGUUAAUUCUGCAGCACAAUCAACAAGCUGUUCCAUACAUCUAAUUGACCAUUAGAAUAUCCAAAUUAAAUGACCAUUCAGGAUGAUAAAUUUUGAUUGUUUUCAUUAUGUAGAAGUUCUCAUUGGUUCUUAAUUUUAAAAUACGUUUGAGAGUCCUUCCAAUGUAGGAUUAGGGUUCUGAGAGUAAGUGUUUUAUCUGUUAUACUUAUGAUCCUUUCACCCCUAUCAAGGUUGAAAUGCAUUUUUUAAAAAUCUCUUUUUACUGAUGUGUUAAGCAUGAAGUACAAAGAGAAAACUAUUUUAUAGGGAGGAAUACUAAGUCAAGGCUGUGUUUUAUCUUUCUGAUGAAAUAGAAUUUCCUACUAAAAGUUAAAGUCUCUCUUUUCCUCUCUUAACUAACAAAUUGAAUAGUCAUGCAAUUUAAGAGCUGGAAAGUAACAUAGAGAUUAUUUGGUCAAAAGCCCUCAUUUUGUAGAUGACGAAGGAUACAAGGGAUGGAAAUAAAAUGGAGCGAGUUAAUCUUAGGCAUCUGAAAAAAAUUCAAUGACAGAACUUUUUUUUCUUUUGGCUCUAGGCCCAAAACACUUCAUUCGAUUGUGAAUAAAAUACAUUUUCAUUCACUGAGAGCUCUUUCUUCUCAUUGUUCUGUACUUCCGGAGGAGGCAAAUAAGUGAUAAACAGGCCUCGAUGGUACUGUAGCAUUUUGCAAAAUAUUUUUUUGCUGUUGUUUUGGUGUCAGCUAACGAUGGCCUUGUGCUCUUAACAUAGUUUCAAUGACUCUUCUAGAAGAAAUGUUUAUGUAUGUCUAAACUACUGUAUUAAUUCAGUUGUCAAGCGUCAACUUUGCAUUCUUUUCCUUUUAAUGUCAUUCUUUUUUUUUCUGAAAUCAUCUAUGAAAGAAAAUAUAUAAGCCCUUUCUAGAUUCUACAACCAGUUUUUUUGUUUGUUUGUUUGGGUUUUUUGUUUCAUUUUGUUUUUUCCCCAUGACUGACCUUGAUUAGGUCCUUAAACACUAUGCCUGACUUUCCUCAUCUGUAAAAUGAAAGCAGUAACACAUACAAAUUGGGGUCAUUAUAAAAUGAAGGUAGGCUUCAUAUUAAUUAUUAGCUGUCAUUCCUAAUCAUUCUAAUUGCCAAUUAGAUAUAUUUAUUGUGGGGUGGCUCUAGUAAACCUGCUGCCAGGUCCCCCAUCCAGGUUUCCUCCCUUACUGAUCACCUGUUUUUUCUUUUGGGUCUUUGCACUCUUAUCAGGGAGGCUUUCCUGGGCAUCCUUUAUAAAUGUGUAACUCCCAUCCCCAGAAAAUGUAUCUACCUCCCUGAUUUUUUUCCAUUGUACUUAUUACCACCUGGCAUUUGAUGUAU
rnacentral:lncRNA from 1 species